rnacentral:lncRNA from 1 species
UGAGCGGGAUAGUACCACGUCAUUCGUCCGCUCUUUUUGCUCACACGAAAUUGAUCAGAGAGAGAGAUUGAUACGUUUCAUCAUCAAUCAAUUCACUAGACUUUCCAUUUUGGUUAAACCAUUCCUUUUCAAUCUGUGCGAAGACAAUGGAUCAAACAUUCAAGAUCACGAUAAUCUCCUCCUACAAUUGUUUGGUGUGGAUUUCUCACAAUCAGAGGUUGAUGUGAAAAGGAUUUUAACAUAAGAAAAUUCCCUGGUCGUCACUAACUAACAAAAAUAGUCAUACGUGCAGGACAACGAAAUAGCUGAUCUGACUUUAGGCGAUUGAAGUUUUAGUUUACAUAACAUGUACGUGCACUGUUGUUGCCGCUUUGACCCGUUUCCUUGCAAUUGUUAAGAUUAAUAUAUGAUAACUGAGUAUUGAUAGUCGUAUUAAUGAUUUUGGAAUGUGAUAUAAUUUGGUGGCGCGCAUCUGACUGCUUUUAAUUAUUGGAUUCCAUUUAUCGGUGCUUUCCCGACGAGGGUUGUAGUCGCUGGGGACAGUAGUUGCACGGUUUGCGGCUUGUGAUUCGAAAUGGUUGCAAGUGUAUUUAUGGCUUAAGUUGCAGGCUCCUCCUCUAUUCGAGUCUUUGGGUCAGGCUUUGUAUUUUUGCCUUUGUUUGGACGUGCCAAAGAGGAACAAAAAAGCGAGAUGCGGUCUUUGUAAUGAUGGUGUGGAGGAUUUGGAUGCGAAGAAACGAUAAGCUUUUCAAGGGGAGUAACAUGUCUUAGACAAGAGUAAUGCAAGACAUUAAAGAAACAACCCUUUGGUAUGUGAUGAAGAGAUAUAAGAUUGUAGGUGUUACGGCGUUGAAGUGGUCGUCAUUUAGCGUCUUCGAUGUUGGUUAAGAUAGGUGGUAUACGGGUGUUGUGAUUUUGUUUCUGCAGGUUGAUGUUUGUUUGGUGUUUCUGUGGUGUAUGAUGUACUAAGUUAUGUGGGCUUGGCUUAACUCCUUCAUGAGUCCUAGCCCAUGUUUUGGGUGUCCAUUGAAUAAAGUUUGGUUUAAAAAAGUAACUAUUGUAUAUUUAGCAUGUGAAUAUGAAUUCAGUGUUGAUUAAAUUUAGGGGUGUUCAAAAAACUCGUGACUCGCAGCUCGCUCGAAACUCGCUCGAAGAAAGCUCGAAGAAAGCUCGAAGAAAGCACAAAACACUCCGCAAUUGAGACAAAAACCAAUUAGUGCAUGUACCCACUGUCUUUCGGCUAUCAACACCACCACAUGAUGCAUGAUUAACGGUCCCCUCGCUUUUUAAAAUUAUUUUUACGAAAUUAGUAAAAUAACGAAAAUUAACCGACCCAUGGUUUCUUCAAAACAACCAUACAUAUUUCAAUACAAAUGGUACAAACAAUAAUGCAAACAUAUAUUACUACUUACUAUUAUAAAUAAUGCUUUUGUAAGCCAGCUCGGCUGGAAACGAGCCAGCUCGGCUCGGCUCGAUUUAUAAACGAGCCGAGCUCGAGCUUGGUCUGGCUCGGCUCGUGAGCUCGUAAGCUGGCUCGAUAAGGUUUACAUCCUUCAUUUUUUUGUCCCACGUCGCUUAGAAAACAAAAACUAAGGGUGUAUCUCC